rnacentral:rRNA from 1 species
ACCUCAAAUCGGGUGGGACUACCCGCUGAACUUAA